GGAACGUGGAACAUUCUGUGCCAGAAGAUAAAGAAAUGCUUAAAGAAUGAUGAGGACAUGUCAAAAAGACACUAGAAGCAGCUUAAAAGGACUCCCAAAGAUCAAAUCUGAGGCGCUAGUAUGCUGGAAGUUUCAAGAACCCAGGGAAGAGCCAUAAAUGUUCUACUGAAUUGGAAGUUGAGACCAUCAAAUGGCCAUUCCAGGCUCUGUUGCUAGAGAGCAAAAUAAGAAGAGUAUUGGCUAAGGUGAUUAACACUGACCAAGACUGAAAAACAGUACUAAUGACAGCCACAGGCACCGCGAUGGGAUGGAAUACAGAGACACCAUGCAGAGCCUCCCUGAACUAUAAUGUCCAGUGAAAAUGCUAAGAGCAAGUUUAUUUAAACGUUUGAGAAGGAAGCCUGUGAAUCAAGAGCUCACAAUCCUUAGAACUAAAGAUUCUAGUCACUACAUCAAGCUGAAAACUCCAUCAGAUAAAGUUCCUUUAAAGAGAUGGGAAACACAGAACGAGUAAUGGAAAAAAUUAAGCCACCUACAGCUUCAUAAUCAGUUACAGAAACUAACAGUUGGUGCUCAGUAAAUAUUUCUUGAUUGCCGCCUACAAAUCUAAGAUACAAAAGUCUACAAAUCUAAGUUGUACAAAUCUAAGAUACAAAGGUCUACAAAGCUAAGAUACAAAUUUCAUUGGAACAAAUAAUCAUAAAAUUUGACAGACUUAAUAAACUUAGUAGACAGACUUAGUCUUCUGAAAGACUGAUAAAAAAUUUCAAGAAAUGUAUCAAGAAAAUGAGUAUAGUUUAAGCAACACAGAUAUCACAGAAGAUUUGGAAGAGAACAGCUAUCAUCAAUAGGUAAUAAAAGAAUGAAAGUGAGGACUCAAAAUUUGUGAGAAUCUUAUACACUAAAGGAGAAUAUAUGGUAAUAAUUAGUAUAGUUUAAAAUCUUGCUAAUAAUCUGGACUAAUAAUAAAAGUC